rnacentral:rRNA from 1 species
GAUGAACGCUGGCGGCGUGCCUGACACAUGCAAGUCGAGCGAUUCUCUUCGGAGAAGAGCGGCGGACGGGUGAGUAACGCGUGGGUAACCUGCCCUGUACACACGGAUAACAUACCGAAAGGUAUGCUAAUACGAGAUAAUAUGCUUUUAUCGCAUGGUAGAAGUAUCAAAGCCCCGGCGGUACAAGAUGGACCCGCGUCUGAUUAGCUAGUUGGUAAGGUAACGGCUUACCAAGGCGACGAUCAGUAGCCGACCUGAGAGGGUGAUCGGCCACAUUGGAACUGAGACACGGUCCAAACUCCUACGGGAGGCAGCAGUGGGGAAUAUUGCACAAUGGGCGAAAGCCUGAUGCAGCAACGCCGCGUGAGCGAUGAAGGCCUUCGGGUCGUAAAGCUCUGUCCUCAAGGAAGAUAAUGACGGUACUUGAGGAGGAAGCCCCGGCUAACUACGUGCCAGCCGCCGCCGUAA